GUUGGGAGCCUGCCGACCUGGCGCCUUCUCGUCAUUCGACCCACAGCUCUCCCUCUGGACACUUUUCUAGCAGCCCGUGGGGCUCCGACAGGAACACAGUACCAGUCUUUCACCUGGAGGCCUGCUCUCCUCCACUUUCUUCGUGUGGUGGGGACUGCCUGGGCCCUGUUCCACUGCGGUUCCCGGGGAAAGGAGACUGAGCACCACCGCUCUGAAGAAGGAUACUGAGGGCUCUGCUGACAGCUCCUCUGCCCUCCCGAUCCGGCCACCUGCCUCCUCAGCAGUACCCCCGGUUGAGCACCUUUUCUUCUUCCAUGUUCCUCUGACAUGCUGUUUCUGCCUUGGAGCCAUCCAACCAUGGUGGACUGAAACUGAGCCAAAAUAAACCUCUCUUCCUCUAAGUU
rnacentral:lncRNA from 1 species